AUGUGCCUCUGACCCCGAGGGAAAAACGGCAAGCCAUGGGGCUCAGUGGCCCGAGCUGAUGGCCACUGAAUGCUGGCUCCUUUAUACAGGGUGUGUGUAUGGCCUUGAGGGGCUGAUGAGGAUUCAGAUGGGAACUGUGGGGUGUUGGAGAGGGGAGGGCAAAGAGGGCAGAAAGGCAGUUUCUGGGAAUAACAAGGAAGAGGUCUGCUCCUACCCAGCAUAAGGCCAGCUUCCCCCCUGUCUGAUGUGGUUAUCUGCUCCCACCUACCUCCUGAGUCUUUGGGUGCUCAAUCAUACUUUUGAGAAAUGUCCUCUUCAUUUGCCCACCCUAUCCCCAUCUAGUUUAUCCCCAACCAUGAGAUCCAGGGGUACAGUACAAAAUCCCAAACUUGAAUGCAUUGCCAGCUUUGUAAAACAUUCCUCUCCAUCUUUCUUAGGUGAACUCACCAACCAAAUUAAGAGGAACAGUGGGGCUUCCAAUACUGGUACCGCUUCAAACUACACAUUUCCAAAACCAGAAGAAAUCUUGUCUUUUGUAAAUAAUGGAUGGAGACCACAAAAGGCAUGGGGUGCAGGUAAAUGAUUAAAUGGAGUUUUAAUUACACAACACAGCUUAAUACAGUUGCUUUCAUUUAACAUAAUGCCAGCCUCAAAUCUAGAGGUCUAUUUUUAAAUCAGUGUACGUGGCCAUUUAUUUGUCUUGUGAGCUCAGACUUCUACAGACAUAUUAAUGUCUGUGUUCCAUACAGAACCAGACAGUUACUCAAAACAGGGGAGGGUGAAGAAAUAUUUUUUCUGAGGCAAUGCAAAACUGUACUUGGAAGCAACUUAUCAAAUAUGUUAAUAGCAUAGCAAUAAAAUAUUACUUUAUUAUUACA
rnacentral:lncRNA from 1 species